rnacentral:lncRNA from 1 species
CUUUUGCCUCAUGUCGUUUAACCUUGUAGGUGGUGCCUAUCUUAUCUUACUUCCCACUAACGCCCUUAGGAAUCCCUGUUUCAACUGUGGCCAGCUCUUUAUUGAGCCUAAAGACAGUUUGCUGUACCAUCACAUAGGAAUUUCAUCCAACAUCAGAUGGAAACCUUGACAUUAAAAUGAGGGGCUUGCUUUUUCAGCCUAAUCUACGUCGUGUAUUCUUAGAGAUGGUACAUUGGAACACCUUUACCACUAUAUUUCUCCAUUACAGCCACAGGGCAGAUAAAACUAUCUAGAAUUGGCUCUCCUCUGAUUUCUCUUGAAAAUGGCAGAGCUCAUCAUCAUCAUCAUCAUCCAGUUCAAAUGAUCUUGUAGAUUGGUCUUCAUAUUCUUUAUACAGAGGAGUGUUAUAUGAAUUAUUGAUCAACUUUUCUAUUCUCCAACCCUCCUAGCAAUAACGUUGGCCAUAUUUCCUAUCUUGAGAAUUCACCUCAUUUGCAAACCUCUCCAAGGCAAGUUUGUUCACUCAUCGCUCAUUCAUUUUCCUUUUUGGUACAUUGUUGUAGGUUUUCAACCCUUAUACAUUGUUGUUGUUCUCAUGGAAGAAGCUGUGAUUAGUUCUUCUCCAGAUUUACAUUGCAGAUUCGUCUUUGGACCUUCAAACUUUGCCCGCAGAAAUUCAUUCUCUUCCAUUAGCGCCUCGAGGUUUUCUGCCAUUUGCUAGAGAGUUUUUGUCGUAGAUAUUUUUCUUCUGUAAGCGAUGGCAUUGGGUGGAAGAAAUGUCGAUGGUUCCUCAAUUUACCGCUUCGAGUUGAUGUCCCUGUUUACUUGGUCAUUGCUGUGCUCUUCUGCUUCAACUUCCAUCAUUUUAGCAUCUUUCGAAUUUACUUCCGUCUGUUUCAUUUUUUCAAAUUUCAAUGGUUUUUCAAGUUAGAAGGAUGAAUUCUAGAUUUUGUUUGCUCAAGUAUUCCUACAGAAGGCGCCAAUUUGUUGACGAUAUAAUUACGAUCAACAAGUUUCUCUCACCUUGUUAGAAUUUUCUUCUCCUAAACUCACUAGUUUUGAUACUUAAAUUGAAGCAAAACGUGAAAUAAUUAUUUGGGACGGAGAUAUUUGAAUUUACAUACCUUCUUCCUCUGAAGAGAGUAUUUGAAGAUUUCCUCAGGC